AAGGAGUCAUAGUACCACUAAUGAAGAGGUCUGGAAGGAGUCAUAGUUCCACUAAUUAGGAGGUCUAGAAGGAGUCAUAGUUCCACUAAUCAAGAGGUCUGGAAGGAGUCAUAGUACCACUAAUCAGGAGGUCUAGAAGGAGUCAUAGUACCACUAAUCAGGAGGUCUGGAAGGAGUCAUAGUACCACUAAUCAGGAGGUCUAGAAGGAGUCAUAGUACCACUAAUCAAGAGGUCUGGAAGGAGACAUAGUUCCGCUAAUCAGGAGAUCUAGAAGGAGUCAUAGUACCACUAAUCAGGAGGUCUAGAAGGAGUCAUAGUUCCACUAAUCAAGAGGUCUGGAAGGAGUCAUAGUUCCACUAAUCAGGAGAUCUAGAAGGAGUCAUAGUUCCAUUAAUUAGGAGGUCUAGAAGGAGUCAUAGUUCCACUAAUCAAGAGGUCUGGAAGGAGUCAUAGUUCCACUAAUCAGGAGAUCUAGAAGGAGUCAUAGUUCCACUAAUCAAGAGGUCUGGAAGGAGUCAUAGUACCACUAAUCAGGAGGUCUAGAAGGAGUCAUAGUUCCACUAAUCAAGAGGUCUGGAAGGAGUCAUAGUACCACUAAUCAGGAGGUCUAGAAGGAGUCAUAGUUCCACUAAUCAAGAGGUCUGGAAGGAGUCAUAGUUCCACUAAUCAGGAGAUCUAGAAGGAGUCAUAGUUCCACUAAUUAGGAGGUCUAGAAGGAGUCAUAGUUCCACUAAUCAAGAGGUCUGGAAGGAGUCAUAGUACCACUAAUCAGGAGGUCUAGAAGGAGUCAUAGUACCACUAAUCAAGAGGUCUGGAAGGAGACAUAGUUCCGCUAAUCAGGAGAUCUAGAAGGAGUCAUAGUACCACUAAUCAGGAGGUCUAGAAGGAGUCAUAGUUCCACUAAUCAAGAGGUCUGGAAGGAGUCAUAGUUCCACUAAUCAGGAGAUCUAGAAGGAGUCAUAGUUCCAUUAAUUAGGAGGUCUAGAAGGAGUCAUAGUUCCACUAAUCAAGAGGUCUGGAAGGAGUCAUAGUUCCACUAAUCAGGAGAUCUAGAAGGAGUCAUAGUUCCACUAAUCAAGAGGUCUGGAAGGAGUCAUAGUACCACUAAUCAGGAGGUCUAGAAGGAGUCAUAGUUCCACUAAUCAAGAGGUCUGGAAGGAGUCAUAGUACCACUAAUCAGGAGGUCUAGAAGGAGUCAUAGUUCCACUAAUCAGGAGGUCUAGAAGGAGUCAUAGUACCACUAAUCAGGAGGUCUAGAAGGAGUCAUAGUACCACUAAUCAGGAGGUCUAGAAGGAGUCAUAGUACCACUAAUGAAGAGGUCUGGAAGGAGUCAUAGUUCCACUAAUUAGGAGGUCUAGAAGGAGUCAUAGUUCCACUAAUCAAGAGGUCUGGAAGGAGUCAUAGUACCACUAAUCAGGAGGUCUAGAAGGAGUCAUAGUUCCACUAAUCAAGAGGUCUGGAAGGAGUCAUAGUACCACUAAUCAGGAGGUCUAGAAGGAGUCAUAGUACCACUAAUCAGGAGGUCUGGAAGGAGUCAUAGUACCACUAAUCAGGAGGUCUAGAAGGAGUCAUAGUACCACUAAUCAAGAGGUCUGGAAGGAGACAUAGUUCCGCUAAUCAGGAGAUCUAGAAGGAGUCAUAGUACCACUAAUCAGGAGGUCUAGAAGGAGUCAUAGUUCCACUAAUCAAGAGGUCUGGAAGGAGUCAUAGUUCCACUAAUCAGGAGAUCUAGAAGGAGUCAUAGUUCCAUUAAUUAGGAGGUCUAGAAGGAGUCAUAGUUCCACUAAUCAAGAGGUCUGGAAGGAGUCAUAGUUCCACUAAUCAGGAGAUCUAGAAGGAGUCAUAGUUCCACUAAUCAAGAGGUCUGGAAGGAGUCAUAGUACCACUAAUCAGGAGGUCUAGAAGGAGUCAUAGUUCCACUAAUCAAGAGGUCUGGAAGGAGUCAUAGUACCACUAAUCAGGAGGUCUAGAAGGAGUCAUAGUUCCACUAAUCAAGAGGUCUGGAAGGAGUCAUAGUACCACUAAUCAGGAGGUCUAGAAGGAGUCAUAGUUCCACUAAUCAAGAGGUCUGGAAGGAGUCAUAGUUCCACUAAUCAGGAGAUCUAGAAGGAGUCAUAGUUCCAUUAAUUAGGAGGUCUAGAAGGAGUCAUAGUUCCACUAAUCAAGAGGUCUGGAAGGAGUCAUAGUUCCACUAAUCAGGAGAUCUAGAAGGAGUCAUAGUUCCACUAAUCAAGAGGUCUGGAAGGAGUCAUAGUACCACUAAUCAGGAGGUCUAGAAGGAGUCAUAGUUCCACUAAUCAAGAGGUCUGGAAGGAGUCAUAGUACCACUAAUCAGGAGGUCUAGAAGGAGUCAUAGUUCCACUAAUCAGGAGGUCUAGAAGGAGUCAUAGUACCACUAAUCAGGAGGUCUAGAAGGAGUCAUAGUACCACUAAUCAGGAGGUCUAGAAGGAGUCAUAGUACCACUAAUGAAGAGGUCUGGAAGGAGUCAUAGUUCCACUAAUUAGGAGGUCUAGAAGGAGUCAUAGUUCCACUAAUCAAGAGGUCUGGAAGGAGUCAUAGUACCACUAAUCAGGAGGUCUAGAAGGAGUCAUAGUACCACUAAUCAAGAGGUCUGGAAGGAGACAUAGUUCCGCUAAUCAGGAGAUCUAGAAGGAGUCAUAGUACCACUAAUCAGGAGGUCUAGAAGGAGUCAUAGUUCCACUAAUCAGGAGGUCUGGAAGGAAUCAUAGUUCCACUAAUUAGGAGGUCUGGAAGGAGUCAUAGUACUACUA